rnacentral:rRNA from 1 species
CAGUAGCCGCGGUAAAACGGAGGGUGCAAGCGUUAAUCGGAAUUACUGGGCGUAAAGCGCACGCAGGCGGUCUGUCAAGUCAGAUGUGAAAUCCCCGGGCUUAACCUGGGAACUGCAUUUGAAACUGGCAGGCUAGAGUCUUGUAGAGGGGGGUAGAAUUCCAGGUGUAGCGGUGAAAUGCGUAGAGAUCUGGAGGAAUACCGGUGGCGAAGGCGGCCCCCUGGACAAAGACUGACGCUCAGGUGCGAAAGCGUGGGGAGCAAACAGGAUUAGAUACCCGGGUAGUCCCUGUCUCUUAUAA